CCAUCCCUGUCAAAAAAAAAAAAAACUCCCCCUCUCUCCGUGAGCCCUCGCUCUCUCUCUACUGUGACUCCUUGCCGCUCCAGCCACAUACGCCGGCCGCCUCGCCUCGCUCCGGCGACUCCUUCCACCGCCAGGCACGCUCCUGAGCUAGCCUCCCUCCGCUACUUCCUCCCCUUCGGCUGGAUUCGACGCUCGUGCCCACCAGCAACCCUCCCCCGCGGCUAGGGUUUCAGGCGCGGCGGUCGGGCGGAGCAUCAUGCGCCGCCGCCUCGCCCUCGCCGGCGCUCCUCCUCCCACCUGUGUUGCCGCCGCCGCCAUCCCCAACGUGAGCAAGCUGGCUAGGGUUCACCGCCCCCCUUUGCUGAUCGAAUUGAUUUACACUAGUUACAGCAGCAGCAAGUCGAUCUACUCCCCCCUUUGCUGAAUGUUGAUGGAAUCGAAUGGCGCCAUCAGGUGGAGGAGGAGGAGCGCUGUUCCGGGGUUUUUCUACCCUGGUUGCGAAGCAAGGCAGGAGCCGGCACCUCGUCGGCGCUGCGCAUCGGGACCUUGCCCUUGGGAAGGUCAUUGUUCCCUUCGUGGCCGAUACAGUAGUGGGACUGCAUAUUGCAAGUGCCUCAAAAUGCUUAUGCGCAGCAACUCAAAGUCUGUUUGUGGCUGUUUGGCGAUCUGGUUACCCCGGCGGACCUCACUGUGUUCUAAGCGUCAACCUUGUGCACACAAGAACUUGAGGGUACCCUGCUCCAGCGUCCAGAGGAAUUGGGAUGGGCGCUGUAUGUUAGAUCCCUUCCAUGCAAGGAUCAGAUGCAUAACAUAGUAUGAACAUGCAGUAGAAAUGUUACGGAGGGACAUGCAUUUUCAUCUUCUAAUAUGCACUGCUGGCAUAUAAGUUCUGUUUGUUUCACACCCACAUAAGUGACAUAAAAGCUUCCAUGGUUAAUUUUCUGAACCAUUAUUUGGGCCUUGGGCUUGGUAAAUUGGAAAGCCGUUGGGAACCAGCCACCUACAUGUAGCCUGUAGGGAAGCCAUCAGAGGAAUUAGCGCCUCAAAAAAAUCAGAGGAACUAGCGGAGAAGGCUUCAGCGGUUGGUGCGUGGCUGCGUGCGGGCCUGCGGCAACCCUGGCAACGAGGAUGCUAAUGCGAGGGCGCGAGGUACGAUUGCCGCCGGCGGACAGAGAUUGGCGUCCGGCGUUGGCGUCCUGCGUCGUCCUGUGUUCUGCAGGGAACAUGUCUGAUACGGUGAAUUGGUGAUAACUUGCAGAUUUCAUUUGAAUCAGGGACUGAGGCAACCAAAUAAGUGGAAGAAAAAGUUAGACGUUGUGGCAGCCAGUGAGGGGUGAUCGACGCUGACUAGCGCAGCCGGUGGGCGCUGUGCUCUUCAACCACUCAGAGGCGGACUUCUCCGUGAAGCUGGUGGCCAUGUCGUGUAGAUGAUUGUCCAGGUGAUUCCGAUGUCGGAGGUCGCCGAGGUGGAGGACCUCGACGCCACUGUCCGGGGGGAGGGAGGAUUCGGGUCCACCGUCGUCUAAGCUCCGAGCCUUGGUAGAUACAAUCUAGGGAAGUUGUCUGUUUAGGUUGGUGAUGGAACACCAGGGAAGGUACCAACC